UGCUGGAGGUAUCAGAAGUGCGAAUGCUGACAUAAGUAACGAUAAAGCGGGUGAAAAGCCCGCUCGCCGGAAGACCAAGGGUUCCUGUCCAACGUUAAUCGGGGCAGGGUGAGUCGACCCCUAAGGCGAGGCCGAAAGGCGUAGUCGAUGGGAAACGGGUUAAUAUUCCCGUACUUGGUGUUACUGCGAAGGGGGGACGGAGAAGGCUAUGUUGGCCGGGCGACGGUUGUCCCGGUUUAAGCGUGUAGGUGUGUGUUCCAGGUAAAUCCGGUUCACUUUAACACUGAGGCGUGACGACGAGGCACUACGGUGCUGAAGCAACAAAUGCCCUGCUUCCAGGAAAAGCCUCUAAGCAUCAGGUAACAUCAAAUCGUACCCCAAACCGACACAGGUGGUCAGGUAGAGAAUACCAAGGCGCUUGAGAGAACUCGGGUGAAGGAACUAGGCAAAAUGGUGCCGUAACUUCGGGAGAAGGCACGCUGACACGUAGGUGAAGUGAUUUACUCAUGGAGCUGAAGUCAGUCGAAGAUACCAGCUGGCUGCAACUGUUUAUUAAAAACACAGCACUGUGCAAACACGAAAGUGGACGUAUACGGUGUGACGCCUGCCCGGUGCCGGAAGGUUAAUUGAUGGGGUCAGCGCAAGCGAAGCUCCUGAUCGAAGCCCCGGUAAACGGCGGCCGUAACUAUAACGGUCCUAAGGUAGCGAAAUUCCUUGUCGGGUAAGUUCCGACCUGCACGAAUGGCGUAAUGAUGGCCAGGCUGUCUCCACCCGAGACUCAGUGAAAUUGAACUCGCUGUGAAGAUGCAGUGUACCCGCGGCAAGACGGAAAGACCCCGUGAACCUUUACUAUAGCUUGACACUGAACAUUGAGCCUUGAUGUGUAGGAUAGGUGGGAGGCUUUGAAGUGUGGACGCCAGUCUGCAUGGAGCCGACCUUGAAAUACCACCCUUUAAUGUUUGAUGUUCUAACGUGGACCCGUAAUCCGGGUUGCGGACAGUGUCUGGUGGGUAGUUUGACUGGGGCGGUCUCCUCCUAAAGAGUAACGGAGGAGCACGAAGGUUGGCUAAUCCUGGUCGGACAUCAGGAGGUUAGUGCAAUGGCAUAAGCCAGCUUGACUGCGAGCGUGACGGCGCGAGCAGGUGCGAAAGCAGGUCAUAGUGAUCCGGUGGUUCUGAAUGGAAGGGCCAUCGCUCAACGGAUAAAAGGUACUCCGGGGAUAACAGGCUGAUACCGCCCAAGAGUUCAUAUCGACGGCGGUGUUUGGCACCUCGAUGUCGGCUCAUCACAUCCUGGGGCUGAAGUAGGUCCCAAGGGUAUGGCUGUUCGCCAUUUAAAGUGGUACGCGAGCUGGGUUUAGAACGUCGUGAGACAGUUCGGUCCCUAUCUGCCGUGGGCGCUGGAGAACUGAGGGGGGCUGCUCCUAGUACGAGAGGACCGGAGUGGACGCAUCACUGGUGUUCGGGUUGUCAUGCCAAUGGCACUGCCCGGUAGCUAAAUGCGGAAGAGAUAAGUGCUGAAAGCAUCUAAGCACGAAACUUGCCCCGAGAUGAGUUCUCCCUGAGACUUUAGGUCUCCUGAAGGAACGUUGAAGACGACGACGUUGAUAGGCCGGGUGUGUAAGCGCAGCGAUGCGUUGAGCUAACCGGUACUAAUGAACCGUGAGGCUUAACCUUACAACGCCGAAG
rnacentral:rRNA from 3 species